rnacentral:misc_RNA from 1 species
AUUUUUAUUAUAUUUAUUGUAGUUUCAACAACUUUUGUAAUUAGAUCUGUAGUUAUAAUCCUUGCCUCGAUUUUGUCAAAAAAACUUAUUACAGAUCGAGAAAAAAAUUCCCCAUUUGAGUGUGGAUUUGAUCCUAAAGGCUCAGCUCGACUUCCUUUUUCUUUACGAUUCUUUUUAAUUGCAGUUAUUUUCUUGAUUUUUGAUGUAGAAAUUACUCUUUUACUUCCCCUUGCCUCAAUUAUUCAUUUAACAAACAUAUUUUCUUGAGCCCUUACUGGGGUUUUAUUUUUAUUAAUUCUGCUUUUUGGACUUUACUAUGAAUGACACCAAGGCGCCUUAGAAUGAUCUUAUU